rnacentral:rRNA from 1 species
CCCUUAGAUGUCCUGGGCCGCACGCGCGUUACACUGAUGCAUUCAACGAGCUUAUAACCUUGGCCGAGAGGCCUGGGCAAUCUUGUUAACGUGCAUCGUGAUAGGGAUAGAUUAUUGAAAUUAUUAAUCUUGAACGAGGAAUUCCUAGUAAACGCAGAUCAUCAAUCUGCAUUGAUUACGUCCCUGCCCUUUGUACACACCGCCCGUCGCACCUACCGAUUGGAUGGUCCGGUGAGGACUUCGGACUGGGACCGAUGCGGCUUUCGGGCUGCGUCGGUAUUCUGGAAAGAUGUCCAAACUGUAUCAUUUAGAGGAAGUAAAAGUCGUANCA